GAAAAUUUAAUUGGCAUUUUUACCAAACAUGCCUGAUAGCUCAGAGACGACUCAGCAUAUCUCCCGGAGGCGGCGAGACUGCGCGUCUAAUGUCAAAUUAAAAAAUUGGAAAAAUCUAACCCGAUCUUCCUGAUUCCAGAGAUUGUCUAAC